rnacentral:rRNA from 1 species
UACAGAGGGGGCAAGCGUUGUUCGGAAUUACUGGGCGUAAAGGGCGCGUAGGCGGCCCGCUAAGUCGAACGUGAAAUCCCUGGGCUCAACCCAGGAACUGCGUCCGAUACUGGCAGGCUUGAAUCCGGGAGAGGGAUGUGGAAUUCCAGGUGUAGCGGUGAAAUGCGUAGAUAUCUGAAGGAACAUCAGUGGCGAAAGCGACUUCCUGGACCAAUACUGACGCUCAUGUGCGAAAGCGUGGGGAGCAAACAGG